rnacentral:rRNA from 1 species
CCUACGGGAUGCUGCAGUGAGGAAUAUUGGUCAAUGGACGAGAGUCUGAACCAGCCAAGUAGCGUGAAGGAUGACUGCCCUAUGGGUUGUAAACUUCUUUUAUAUGGGAAUAAAACGUUCCACGUGUGGGAUUUUGUAUGUACCAUAUGAAUAAGGAUCGGCUAACUCCGUGCCAGCAGCCGCGGUAAUACGGAGGAUCCGAGCGUUAUCCGGAUUUAUUGGGUUGAAAGGGAGCGUAGGUGGAUUGUUAAGUCAGUUGUGAAAGUUUGCGGCUCAACCGUAAAAUUGCAGUUGAAACUGGCAGUCUUGAGUACAGUAGAGGUGGGCGGAAUUCGUGGUGUAGCGGUGAAAUGCUUAGAUAUCACGAAGAACUCCGAUUGCGAAGGCAGUUCACUGGACUGCAACUGACACUGAGGCUCGAAAGUGUGGGUAUCAAACAGGAUUAGAUACCCUUGUAGUC